UGACGCCUCUGUCUCCUCUUACAUCCAGCCCUGCCCGCGUCUUGACCUCCUCCGAGCAAAUAGUGGAGGUGGUGGCGGCCACUGCAGACGAAGAUGGCGCCUGCGACGGCUAGGACGCGGCGGCAGAGCUCAUCGGGCGGUUGCUAAAUCUGGUCUGUGCAGCCUCCUCCAUGGAGGCCGAUCAGCGCGGCGUCCAAGCUGGCAUAACCCCUUCCAAUCAAAGGGCGACCUCCGUCGGGCCGCCUCUCCACUGCUGCUCCUCGCCGUUCGAGCUGUGGGUGAGCGUCGCCGCCCCACCGCCUUUCUCGCACGCGCGCCGGCUCUACCCCCGCUUGCCUCCCUCGCCACCCCGCCUCGCGCCGCCACCGGCCUCGACGCGGUUGUCGCCGCGCGUCGUGAUCGUCGUCGUCAUCCUCGACGGAGCAGUAGCGGUCUUCGGGGCUGCGCACUUCGCGUUCGCUCGACCUUGCCCCAGCGCGGACCUCCGCAUCAGCGGGAGCACCAAGGGGGAGGUCGACGAGCUUUGCCGAGGCGCCACAUCCAGAUCCACGAGCGCUGGGCUGCCACGGCCGUAGCCAUUGUGGCGUCCGUCGCAACUGCCCUGGCCAACCAGCGCCGUCGCGCAAGCAAGGCCGAGCUCUCCGACCUAGCAUCCGCCACGCGCGGCGCCCGCGGCCUCCUUCUUGGUUGCGUUGCGGAAGAAGGCGUUGAAGGAGUAGGCCACGGCGAGGUCCCCGGACAGCUUCAGCUUGUUGAUGGAUGAGACGACGAGCGGGUCCGCCCGCUCCUCGUCACAGUCGCCUCGCCACGGACGCCGGCGCCGGCCACCGAGCUCAACCCGUCGGCGGCGACGGACCACGCGAGAGGUCAUUUUCUCCUUUCUAUUUCUUCCUUCUUUCAUUCCUCUUUCUUGCCCCAACAUUCAUGCGCAUUGCCAGUACUAUUUCCUCUGCUACUUGCUCUCCCUCUGCUCCUCUCCUUCUUCCUGCAGUGAAGACCGCAAACCUCUGUAUCGAACUGACCCUGCAACCUCAACCUCAUUCAACACGAGCUCUUCCAGGUACACAUCUGUAGCGCCUAUUCUUUUGCCCUCUCCACUUUUAAUUUUAUUUAAUCAUAGAAGAUGUGUUUCAUCUCAACAUAACAGCGCUCCCAGCAGAGUUGGUAUUCCCCUCCACCCUUCGUUUUUGUUAUUCUCUUUCUUGAAUCUAUCUGUAGAUACUAUUCUGUAGUAGGUGUUCUGGCCAACUCAAACAUCUGAACUCUAUCAUAGCACACACUGAUUGUGAUAAAUAACAUGUACUGGCAUCAAGCGAAAAAUACUUCUCUCACGAUUGCAUGGUUCUCAAUCUCACUGAAUCUUUUUUCGUGGAUGCUUUUCUCGGCAGGGAUUGCCUGAGCCCAAGCUGCAAGUGUUGAAAUUUGACAGGAAUCCACUUAAAAGAUAAGAAUGUAGCUUCGAUCUGUGAUUUGAUAGUACAUAUGCUGAAUAAAGAAAUCUGGCAUGUAGCAGUCUGGUGGUGCCAAAAUUACAGGAACACACAUGCUGAAUAAAGUAAUAUCAAUACAAUGUAGUGGCGCUACGUGAUAAAUCCUUGGAACAAAAAAUGUGCAUUUGAUGAAAGAAUUCAAAGGGAUAGAUACAGUUGACAGAUCGUGAUGACAUUGAAACAAAGCUUAUGGAUAACACAACAUAAGCAUUGUUCUGAUAUAGUACAUGAAACAUGACCAUAUCUUUCUGCCUCACCCAGGCCUAUAUAAGCAUUGUUCUGAUGUAUUAUGGCAUAUAUAGUAUUUCCCUGGAAAGGUCAGGUACACCAAAUAAGUUUCUUAUAUUUCUACCUCUCUUUCCAAACAAUAUUUGACUAUUUUGGUUCAAGUUUGUUUUACCCAAAUAAGUUUCCUACUUUAUGGGGCUAGACGUCCUUUAUCCACAUUGUUAUCCAGUGUUGUUCGCUACCUUCUUGGGUCCAAGUAAUAUGAUGUUUUGUUUGCAUGCAUGUGUGCCUUGAGUUUGAGUAUUCUGCACGGGUUAACAGGAAUAUCUAUUAAGACAGCACCUAACAUUUUUCGAUUGAUUUGCCCUUGUAUUCACCUGUCAAAUUUUACCGUGCUAUUGAUGCAUUCCUAUAGCCAUUUUUACUCUUCAUGAGCAUGCCAUUGUUAUAAUGUCAUUCUCCUGGUCACAAUGGCUCGAUUUUGUUAGCUACAGCAUAAGACGGAAUUGAUACUUAAAAUUAUAACCUCAUACUCUCUCUCUCUCUCUCUCUCUCUCUAUUUUGUAUCGAUGCUAUUUUGGACGAACAUGAUUCGAAUGGUGAGGCAUUGCUCUUUCUUUUGUGGGUCCAAGCUGCUGUCCCUAAUUAAGUCCAAGGAAGAUUUAAGUCCAUAGUACCAAUUUCAUAUUGACAUUUCAUGUUUAUCCAUUAUUGUGCGUAAUGUAUAUUCUCAUCAAUCAUCAUUUAAUUUUUAUAGCCUAUCUUAUGGGAUAAACAGGUGUACCGUGACACAAAUCAAGGCCAUACUUCCAAUUAUAUUUCACAGAAUGGAAGCAACAUGUUUUGCUUGUGGCCAAACAGUGAUACUAUACUGCAAGAUAAGUGGAUCUUCACCAAACAGCAAUGCUAAUAAGAAUGUCAUACUGAAAUUUCUUUGGCGGAUACAGCUUAGUCCCUUUUGUUUGUAAUACCUAAAGAAGACUCCAACUUAUCUCCUAUUUCUAUGUCUCUACUUAUGUAUGUUUAUAGAACUAUGAGCUUGUAUAUAACUAGAUAUCUAUAUCCGAACUCGCCGGCCUAUGAAAAUAUUGUUUAUAUUAUUAAAUUAUACUACCCUAUCAUUAUCC